GGGUGGUGGUUGACUUCUUUCU
rnacentral:miRNA from 1 species